CAGUAGCCGCGGGAAUACGAAGGGGGCUGGCGUUGCUCGGAAUCACUGGGCGUAAAGGGUGCGUAGGCGGGUCUUUAAGUCAGGGGUGAAAUCCUGGAGCUCAACUCCAGAACUGCCUUUGAUACUGAAGAUCUUGAGUUCGGGAGAGGUGAGUGGAACUGCGAGUGUAGAGGUGAAAUUCGUAGAUAUUCGCAAGAACACCAGUGGCGAAGGCGGCUCACUGGCCCGAUACUGACGCUGAGGCACGAAAGCGUGGGGAGCAAACAGGAUUAGAUACCCCUGUAGUCCCUGUCUCUUAUAC
rnacentral:rRNA from 1 species